rnacentral:rRNA from 1 species
AAAGGAAUUGACGGGGGCUCGCACAAGCGGUGGAUCAUGGGGCUUAAUUCGUCACUAAGCGAGGAACCUUACCAAGGCUAGAAACCAUACUGCAUACUCCGUGAAAGCGGAGUAGCCUUCGAGGGUGUAUGGCAGGUGAUGCAUGGCCGUCGUCAGUUCGUGGCUUGAGCUGUUCCCUUAAGUGGGGAAACGAACGCAACCCUCGUUGCCUGUUACAAGUGUCAGGCGAGACAGCUCCCUCACGGGAGAGGAAGGUGAGGAUGACGCCAGGUCAGCAUGUCCCUAGAUGCCUUGGGCUGCACCCGUGAUACAAUGGGUAGUACAACGAGACGCAAUGUGGCGACACGGAGCAAAUCUUAAUAAAACUACCCUCAAUUCGGAUUGAAGUCUGCAACUCGACUUCAUGAAGUCGGAAUCGCUAGUAAUCGUGGAUCAGCAACGUCACGGUGAAUACGUUCCCGAGCCUUGUACACACCGCCCGU